AACUGAAUAAAUUAUCCGUUAUUUAAAUCAUUCUCUUCAGCUAGAACCAAAUGUAAUAAAUAAAACAAAAUAAUAUAACAAUUAAUAAGAAAGUUUUUCUUAAAGACUUUUAGUUACCAUAUUUCUUUAAUGAUAAUAUUCUUCUAAUAAUUGAUAAUAUUCUUAACGAAAGAACAAAAAUUGCUUAAUGGUUUAUUUAAGUAUUAGAAAUAAAUUGCUUUUUUACAUCGUUUACGGCAAAGCUACUUUAGGGACAGAAGCAACAAUCAGGAUACCACAGACAGCUAGCAGUAACCAACAGCAACAAACAGCAAUCAGCAACGUUUUUGGAAAUGAAUAUAUAAUAAAAUAAAAAAUGAAUUAUUUACUGUAAAAUAAUUAUACAAAAUGGAUUUAAAAAGAGUUUCAAUAAAUCAGAAUAGCUUAACAGCAUCUUACAUUACCCACAAAAAUUCAAAAAAUGAAAUCGGGGAAUGAAAUAGAAUUCGCGAAUUUUAAAGAGGAAUCGUAUAAAAAGGAACACAAAAUAGCUUUCAGAAAUCUCGAGAAAUGAUAUCAAAUUCCAAUAAUUAUCGAGAUAAUACUACCUUCUGCAAGAUUAUAUUCUCCUGGUACAAAAUCGAAGAUUUUGACGAAAAAUUUCUUCGAAAAUCCGAAAGUUUCAACUUAAACAAAUUCCUGAAGUAUGACGUCAAGUUGCAAGAAUUAUCAAAAUUGUUCCAUCUUCUAUGUUAUUAUAUUUUUCUGAUACAAAAUUGCAAAAUCGGCCGACAAAUUUUCCGAGAAGCCAAAAAUUUCAGUUUCGAUGUAGAAUAAGUUACUUCUGUAAAGGGUUCCAUAAAAAAGAAAGUAAAUGGAUUUUAUUAAAAUAAAUGCAUACUUUGUACAGCGAACGAAAGGUUUAACAAAAAACAGAUUGACUAUAUAAUAUAUGCGAAUAAAGUUAUAAAUAAGAAUAUAAAUAAAAACAUUGUUAUGAUUGCUGCUUGCAAUCUAAAUCGCUACAGCUUUGUUGGCGCUUGCACGUGUGUGCCGACGAAGAACUAAUUAGUUCGAAGGACCACCCUCGUUCGGAGAAAAGAAAACAUUGUAUGUGGUUGACUAUUUAAAUAAAACUAUUUACGGAAUACUGGAAGCUGCUCAGUAAUCGUGCCUAAUGUUGCGCGUAACUAUUCUGUAUAAACCAUCUUGCGCGAGUGUUCUGACUAUUCGAUGUCCUAACGACGAAAAGACGGGAAAAAUGGCUUUUGUCUUCGACUUCUCCCUUUCAUAGCCAAUUUCAUGCAGGAGAAUUGGGCACAAGCAAUGUCGUAUUUAAUGGACAGUCCGUUUAAUAGUCGUUUGGCAACCUUGGAGAAUUUCCAUAAUUGCGUUAGUUUAUGGUCACCGAGGACUGUUACGGCCAGGUAUACGUAUAUAGUGGGAAAAUCCGUUAACUGUGAGGCCUGAGUUGUAAACCCACACGAAUGACAGUUACUCGGAGACCCGAUGGCCAACAGUCGUUAAUAACACACCAGUUUGUAACAAUCUAAGUAUCGAGAUCAGAUAAGCAGGUAAAAUUUUUAUAUAGGGUAGACAGGAUAACAUCAACAGACAUUCACUUUUCAAGGGGGAUAGAAACUUAAACACUAAUAAAAUUGAACACAUUUGUUGCCGUAAAUAUUUAUUGUAAAAAAUAUAGUAGUAUCGCAGGAAGAAUAAAGAUAGUACAAUUAAAAUGAUGCAAAUUUAAUGAGAACGCCGAAGAUUACAUUGAGAUAUAUACAAAAUGAGUUUAAUUUAAUCGAUAAUGAUAAAUGAAAUCGUAAGAAACAGGAGUAAUUGGGUGCUAUUGUUGAUCGCAUGUGCUAUAUACAUGUACGCAACGUAAAAAGUAUCCUACUUAGAAUUUAAGAGGCUAAUAUAACAAAAUCUUAUUAUCUGUACUUCUUCUGGUUGGAAGACGUACCAAAUAAUAAAAUAAUAUAUUUGUAUAGUUGUUUCGUUGCACACAUACGCUUAGAAUUGUAACCCUGACGUAAGAAGAUUU